UAAUGAUGAUGAGGGUAGCUCAUCAACAAUGACUUGAACCUAUCCCAAGCUUGGUACAAGUUCUCUCCACCUUUCUGCCUGAAACUCAAUAAAUCACUCCUCAAUUU
rfam:Solanum lycopersicum cultivar Heinz 1706 chromosome 4, whole genome shotgun sequence.